ACGCUGGCGGCGUGCCUAACACAUGCAAGUCGAACGAAGAUUGUUUGAAUUGAGGCUUCGGCCAAUUUUCAUUUAAUCUUAGUGGCGGACGGGUGAGUAACGCGUGAGCAACCUGCCUUACAGAGGGGGACAACAUCGGGAAACUGAUGCUAAUACCGCAUGACAUUGUUUUGCCGCAUGACAGAACAAUCAAAGAUUUAUCGCUGUAAGAUGGGCUCGCGUCCGAUUAGGUAGUUGGUGAGGUAACGGCUCACCAAGCCGACGAUCGGUAGCCGGACUGAGAGGUUGAACGGCCACAUUGGGACUGAGACACGGCCCAGACUCCUACGGGAGGCAGCAGUGGGGAAUAUUGGGCAAUGGGGGAAACCCUGACCCAGCAACGCCGCGUGAAGGAAGAAGGCCUUCGGGUUGUAAACUUCUUCUACCAGGGACGAAGGACGUGACGGUACCUGGAGAAAAAGCAACGGCUAACUACGUG
rnacentral:rRNA from 1 species